UACAAACCAGGAAACUGAGGCUGGGGAUCGAUCGGUCUGCCUCUUUUGAAAUUGUCUGAAUUUGUCAAGUCAACCCACUGAGCGACAAUCUGUGGAAGGCAGUUCCCUCUGCUGGAUGCUCUCCAUUCGACCCGCCGCCGUGGGCGCCUCGGAGCUCAGCAAGGGUGGGCACUUCCUCAGAGGGUCCUGCCUUUCAUCCGGGUACAAGCGCCCCCUCAGCGUUCGUAGCACCCACCCCAGACGCCUGGCGGGUGGUCAGCCCAAGGGGCAUCUGAUGACUAAGGGCUCCACCAUCCAGGUGUGCGGGCACCUGGCCGGCCUUUCAGGACAGCUGGGCUUGGCUCCUACAGGCUGGACCUCUGUCCCCAUCCUGACUCUGAGCCCCCAGGCGCAGCUGAGAGCUGGGCAGGGACACCUGACCCCACAGAGAGGCCCGCGACCUUAGGAAACUCUGUCCCACAUCUUUGGCAGUGAGCUUUGGACGAGAGCCCGGCUCUGGCUCCAGGAUCAGCUCCUUCAAAUCCCUGCUGGUUCUCUGACACUUCACUUCCUCCUCUGCCAAAUGGAUUCUUCGUGGUCAGGCCGGUGACAGGUGAAAGGGGGGUGACAGACGCGGCCUGCCCUCGCCUGUCCUGCUGCUGCCCUCCCUUCCGUGAGACAGCUGUGAGUGGUGAAGGGCCCCUGCAGAGAGGCAAAGGCAGCGGCCCGUCCUGUCUGGGGCCUCCGUCUGCCCCCUCGGGGUGCCGUGGAGAAGCACAGACCAGGCCUGCAGGACACGGGAUGCCUGCUGGAGGCAAGGGCCCCGCAGCGAGGGAGAAGAGCUUCCGCAACGGGAACCACGUCUGAGGAGGGUCUCCCAGCUCUCGCCGGGAAGCCAGGAGUGAGCCAGCGCCUCCACUCUGGUCAGCCACCAGUGUCUGGACUCCAGGGAAAAGCUGCCAUGCACACCAGUGACUUCAGGAAGGAGGCAUGAGGCCAGAGGAGCUCUCAGAUGGGGGCCAACUCCAGAGGCGCCAUGACCUCCCGGAGCCAACACAAGCUUUGGAGCUUGAUGAGACCAGGCUCAUCCUGAGACCAGCCAGGAGACCAGCUCCUGGCUCUGCCAUUUGUUACCCGAAUGCCCUUGGCCAAGCCUGGACCACCUGUCAGAGCCUUAGUUUCGUCAUUUGUUAAAUAGGGUUUAUAUGCUUGUCUCCCAGGGCUGGUAUAAGGGUUAAGUGGGUUGACCUUUGAACGGUUAUCUGGCACGGAGAGGGAGGGGCCCUGUUCAUGCUGGGUGUUGACCAACAGGAAUCAGAAGGGACAUAAAGAGGGUGCCUGGGUGGCUCGGUUGG